rnacentral:rRNA from 1 species
UGAGGAAUCUUGGGCAAUGGGCGAAAGCCUGACCCAGCGACGCCGCGUGGAGGAAGAAGGCCUUCGGGUCGUAAACUCCUGUUUGGGGAGAAGAACAAGAGAGAAGUUAAUAGCUUCUCUCUCUGACGGUAUCCCCGGAGAAAGCUCCGGCUAAUUACGUGCCAGCAGCCGCGGUAAUACGUAAGGAGCGAGCGUUGUCCGGAUUUACUGGGCGUAAAGGGCUCGUAGGUGGUUUCUUAGGUCUCACGUGAAAUUCCCUGGCUCAACCAGGGAGGGUCGUGGGAAACCGAGAGGCUAGAGGGCAGGAGAGGAGAGUGGAAUUCCCGGUGUAGCGGUGAAAUGCGUAGAGAUCGGGAGGAACACCAGUGGUGAAGACGGCUCUCUGGACUGUCCCUGACACUGAGGAGCGAAAGCCAGGGGAGCAAACCGG